UACGAAGGGGGCUAGCGUUGCUCGGAAUGACUGGGCGUAAAGGGCGCGUAGGCGGUUUAGACAGUCAGAUGUGAAAUCCCCGGGCUUAACCUGGGAACUGCGUUUGAAACUGGGGAGCUAGAGUGUAGAAGAGGGGGUGGAAUUCCAGGUGUAGCAGUGAAAUGCGUAGAGAUCUGGAGGAACACCGAUGGCGAAGGCAGCCCCUGGGCUAACACUGACGCUCA
rnacentral:rRNA from 1 species